GAGUUUGAUCCUGGCUCAGGACAAACGCUGGCGGCGUGCUUAACACAUGCAAGUCGAACGGAAAGGCCCUGCUUUUGUGGGGUGCUCGAGUGGCGAACGGGUGAGUAACACGUGAGUAACCUGCCCUUGACUUUGGGAUAACUUCAGGAAACUGGGGCUAAUACCGGAUAGGAGCUCCUGCUGCAUGGUGGGGGUUUGAAAAGUUUCGGCAGUUGGGGAUGGACUCGCGGCUUAUCAGCUUGUUGGUGGGGUAGUGGCUUACCAAGGCUUUGACGGGUAGCCGGCCUGAGAGGGUGACCGGCCACAUUGGGACUGAGAUACGGCCCAGACUCCUACGGGAGGCAGCAGUGGGGAAUAUUGCACAAUGGGCGGAAGCCUGAUGCACCAACGCCGCGUGCGGGAUGACGGCCUUCGGGUUGUAAACCGCUUUCGCCUGUGACGAAGCGUGAGUGACGGUAAUGGGUAAAGAAGCACCGGCUAACUACGUGCCAGCAGCCGCGGUGAUACGUAGGGUGCGAGCGUUGUCCGGAUUUAUUGGGCGUAAAGGGCUCGUAGGUGGUUGAUCGCGUCGGAAGUGUAAUCUUGGGGCUUAACCCUGAGCGUGCUUUCUAUACGGGUUGACUUGAGGAAGGUAGGGGACAAUGGAAUUCCUGGUGGAGCGGUGGAAUGCGCACAU
rnacentral:rRNA from 1 species